GACAGAGGGGGCAAGCGUUGCUCGGAAUUACUGGGCGUAAAGGGCUCGUAGGCGGCCAACUAAGUCGGACGUGAAAUCCCUCGGCUUAACCGGGGAACUGCGUCCGAUACUGGAUGGCUUGAGAUUGGGAGAGGGAUGCGGAAUUCCAGGUGUAGCGGUGAAAUGCGUAGAUAUCUGGAGGAACACCGGUGGCGAAGGCGGCAUCCUGGACCAACACUGACGCUGAUGAGCGAAAGCCAGGGGAGCAAACGGG
rnacentral:rRNA from 1 species